GGUGUGCCAAAAAAAUUAAAGGCUCGGGAAGAUGAAGAAGCUUGAAAGGCUGGAAGACUUGGAUAUAUGACUCGGUCAGGAUAUGAAACUCAUCAACCAAAAGCAAUGAAUGGGCUGGUUAGUGCUGCUCCCUGCCAUGAACAAAACCAUGACAGCUCGUCCAGUCCACAUGCACCACAUCAGAGUGAUCGCCUCCGCUUUGUCCUCCUUAAUUAAUGAUAGCAUUGUUGACAAUGAUCACUGUGAAGUUACUAGUGCUAUGUGAAUGACAGGAAUAGGAGUACACAGGUACCAAGAAACGAAAGAGUCUGACACGUGGACGUGGACCCACUAAGAAAAAGAAGAUGAUAGAAAAAGAAAACAGAUUGAAGUAGAGAAAGGGAAAAAUUAGUAAUGACCUAAGUAUUGUGGAUGUCCAAAGGUCUCGGGUGCUGCAGUCUCGGGAACUUCAAACCUAUUGUUUCUCCAUUGCCACAAUGUCACCCAGGAAAGUUUGGCAUGCUCACAUUAUAUAGUAUGUCCACAUAAUUUAUAGGUUGCUACGACCAUCACAUGGCUUCUCAAGAGAUUACGGAAACAAGGGAGAAGGUCUUUCAGAAAUCCACCAGAAAAAAUGAAUCUUGGGACUAUGGCUAGCUUCCGAAGUUUAUUCCAAAUGCCCCCCAAUCCGAAUUUGAGCCGCUGGACUCAUGUAAGCUCGAGGACACUGUUCCGAUGAACAUGUUGUAUUGAGAGCGUGCCGUACUGCCUGUAAGACCCCGGGACCGGAAUUAUACAAUUUAGCUCCAAAUUACUAACUUUUGCAUAAUUCAAGCCUC
rnacentral:lncRNA from 1 species